CCUACGGGGGGCAGCAGUGGGGAAUAUUGCACAAUGGGGGAAACCCUGAUGCAGCGACGCCGCGUGAGUGAAGAAGUAAUUCGUUAUGUAAAGCUCUAUCAGCAGGGAAGAAAAUGACGGUACCUGAGUAAGAAGCCCCGGCUAACUACGUGCCAGCAGCCGCGGUAAUACGUAGGGGGCAAGCGUUAUCCGGAUUUACUGGGUGUAAAGGGAGCGUAGACGGCAGUGCAAGUCUGGAGUGAAAGGGGGGGGCUCAACCCCCGGACUGCUCUGGAAACUGUACGGCUGGAGUGCAGGAGAGGGAAGUGGAAUUCCUAGGGUAGCGGUGAAAUGCGUAGAUAUUAGGAGGAACACCAGUGGCGAAGGCGGCUUACUGGACUGUAACUGACGUUGAGGCUCGAAAGCGUGGGGAGCAAACAGGAUUAGAUACCCCUGUAGUC
rnacentral:rRNA from 1 species